AUGGACAGCAACCAAAGAAUUCUAUGUCGUUGGUUGUUUGAACAGGGCGACGGCAAAAACCGUGGACUACGAACCAACAACGAGCAUUGGACGCCCGAAGAGGUGACUGCACUAGUGGAUGGUGUUGAAGAUCUUGGUGUUGGAAGAUGGUCUGCUCUGAAGAAGAAAUGGUUUUCGACCUCAGUCCGAACUGCGGUGAAUCUUAAGGAUAAAUGGAGAAAUUUGCUGAGAUCAUACACGGGAAAUGCAGAAAGAGGAUGCUAUCUGCAACUAGAUCAUAGCUUGAUCCAACGGAUCCAGAAGAUCAUCUGUGGAAUUAUGCAAGAUGCUCGUGCAUCUACACCAUUGUUUCAUGAAUAG
rnacentral:rRNA from 1 species